GAGUUACUUAUAUGUUGCGAUAUGUGUUGUUAUUCAGAGGUAAAAUGCGAGGAACUUGUCAAUCAGCUCGAUUGACUGGAGUCCCACCAGAUAGUGAGAGAAUAGAUGCUCGUCCUCCUGCAUUGCCAAGGGCAAGGUCUCAAAGAUCUAGCAGGGAAGGUCCAUCAAUAGACCCUAGAAGGUCUGUAGACGAGAGCAGAAGCGGUACAGUUAGAGGAGGAAGAUCAGAGGAAGUGAGGGAGGCUAUGGAGAUUGAUCAGUCCAUAGAUGAAAGCAUGAGUGUAGGUAG
rnacentral:lncRNA from 1 species